GAAGGCCCCCUUCCUGACUCUGCCCUUCCCAGAGGCACAGCGGCAGCUUCAGGCCAGACUCUACCAUCUCUGAUGCUGUGUCACCGAUAGCACUGCCUGCUCUGGCCACGAAUAAUACUCCUUGACCGGCAGUCCUUCAUGCACUGCUCCUCUGUAUUUCUUACCGUGAAAGGAAGUAGAUCCACGUCAAUGCCCUCAAUUGGAGCACGCUUGACCCAGUUUCAUCAUUUGCCUUUUAGUGUUGUCUGUGAGGUUACUUUCCAUUGCCACAUUGGAAACUGCUCAAGUUGACUAAGCUGAAAGCAGUCUUGUGCUGCCUGUGGGCCAGUGGCUUCCAGUGUUCACAAGAGUGGUGGAUUUAAACGAAUGUGUUUGAAUUUUGGCUGCUUCAACCAAAUUCUCCCUUCUAGGUAAUGUCUUCCUUUUGAAGCCCAUGAAAACAAUCCACAUAUUAAGGAGACCUUCAAAAAGUAGCAUGUGGUCUGUUCUAGGCACUAUUUUAACCCUGCACUCUUCAUCACCCUGGAACCUGAACCCUAUGCCGACCUGCUCAUGACAGUAUAGCAACUGUACCUUGUGCUUCUCUGCACUUACGCACAUUGAGAGAAAGCUAUCAGAAGAAGAAGCCAGAGAACUAACGGGGUUCAUCUCAGGUGCCUGCUUUUCUUCAAAGUCCAGUACUGCCUGCCGUUCAGGGUUCCCUCUGGGUCCUUGGUGGACUACGACUUUGGAGGGAAUCAAUUCUAACCCUGGAUUUGCCAGUGCCUGACAGAUGUGGAGAGCACAUGAAUCAUGGCAUGCCUUGGUUUCCCCCUCAUUCAACGUGGGUAUCAUACUUCCUGUUACUCUUGCAGAUAGGUGUGGGGAAGGCUGCAUGCAAACCCAUUGCUGUAAUUAGCAUCAUUAUAUGACUUUUAUUAGCGCCCUCCAUGGUCACACAUUUCUAAAGACAUGCUCCAGGAAGAGGAAAUACAAUGAGAGCAGUAUCUACCUGCAACCUUGGGUUAGACAGAA
rnacentral:lncRNA from 1 species